GCAUUCUCAACAGAAGGUCAGGGAAGCCCACCUUAGGAGAUGGGAGAUGCAUAUGUAGCCUCACCCCUCCUAGAAUUAGAAGACUUCUUGGGGGUCUCCUGGGGAUGGCAGCACCUGGAUCCCCAGCCCUAGUCUAGUAGCUAAGCCUCUACUUGAAAUGUUGAAUGGAAAGGAUGAUGAUCCUUCUAAUGGAAACCAGAAUUCAAAGGGGCCUUUCAAGAAUUGAAAUAGCAAUUCCUUCAGGCCCCCGUCCUGGCCCUCCCAGACUGAGCUACUUCAACAGAGAUCCAGGAGGCCAGCAGCGGCCAGUUAAUGACCACAGGAGAUACUUCUUUCCCCAACUGCAGCUUGUCAAGGAUAAGGGAGGCUCAUCAAAGAACUCACUCCAGGAGGGAAGCCCUAUAUCAUUGGUUAGCAGGGUCACGGUAACUCCUGGCAUGAAAGGUAUAAUCAGUGGGAUUGUCGAAACACGCCUGACUCCCUUCUCCACCAAAGCCCCAGAUAAGGACCAUUCAGAUCAGGGGGACAUACCCUGGAGAAGACUGACAUACUGAUCUCAUGCUGAGGGCAGCUGGCAAUUUCAGGUAUCUCUUGGUGCUAGUAAACACAUUUUUUGAGUGGAUAGAAGAAUUCCCCGCUACAAUUGAAACAGCAGCUGAAGCAGCUAAGGCAGUAGUAAGAGAGAGAAUCCCCAGGUUUGGGCUCCCAGGAUCCCUACAACAAAUGAUGGUCCAGGACUUGAAUCUCAAGUGACAAAGGGGAUGGCUGGACCUUCCUCUCAGCCCAGAGACCUCAAUCAAUAGAGAAAAUAGAUCAAAUCAGAUCGGGAAACAGGUGUUAGCCAAGCUAUGUCAGGAAACUCUGACUGCCCUACUCCACAUGCGGUCAGCUCCAGGUUAAGUGCCCUUGAACUUAAUGGGAAAUGAACUCCCAUUUCCAUAGCUGGAGAGAAAAGACACCUCAGUCCCCUUGAAAUGGAACAACUCAAGUGUGCGCUCCAGUUAGGAGAAACCAGGAAAGCUCUCAUGGAAUAUGGGACCCAGUUGCUGCUUGCACUCACUGACCCAGCCCCAGCCUUCCAGCCAGGAGCCUAGGCGCAUCUGAAAAUCUGGAAAACCAGCAGCCCGCAAGCCCUGCUCACCCCUAAGUGGAGCAGACGCCACCUGGUGACCUUCACCACCCUCCCUGCUCUGAAGUCGCAGGGGCCACUCCAUGGGGACACUAUACUCUAGCGAAGAGGCCCCCAAGCCCCAGCCUCCAGAGAAACAAGCUGGGGCCAUGGGCCCCUUGACCACUCGCGUGAACCAUGCUCUGACCUGGAGCUUCUUUUCCGAAAUACCACCAAAAUGGGCCAGGGACACUCAGGUGCAUCCAGCCCAAAGACCUGGAGUCCUGCCUUUUCAGGAGAAUGUGACAGUGCUGAGUCUAGUGUCGCUGGCUCACAGGCAGCCAUGGACAAAGACCUCGAACCCGGCACUUCAGACCAGGGUUCCUGAUGGGUAGUGGCUGCACUUACACCUGGGCUCAGGGCUGUGCGCAAAGAGCCCCGCCCCCUCACUGCUGACCGGGACCCUAUAAAGCAGCCCCGCCCACAGCCUACAGGACAGCCUGUGCUCUGGACCAGGAGCUCACACCUCUCUGUUCUCUGAUCAGGGAAUAAAGCUUUCCUUUGCUUCC